AUUGAACGCUGGCGGCAGGCCUAACACAUGCAAGUCGAACGAGUGGCGGACGGGUGAGUAAUGUCUGGGAAACUGCCUGAUGGAGGGGGAUAACUCCUGGAAACGGUAGCUAAUACCGCAUACCCUCAGAUGUGCCCAGAUGGGAUUAGCUAGUUGGUGGGGUAACGGCUCACCAAGGCGACGAUCCCUAGCUGGUCUGCGAGGAUGACCAGACACACGGGAACUGAGACAAGGUCCAGACUCCUACGGGAGGCAGCAGGGGGGAAUAUUGCACAAUGGGCGCAAGCCUGAUGCAGCAAGGCCGCGUGUAGGAAGAAGGCCUUCGGGUUGGAAAGUACUUUCAGCGGGGAGGCGUUACCCGCAGAAGAAGCACCGGCUAACUCCGUGCCAGCAGCCGCGGUAAUAC
rnacentral:rRNA from 1 species